CCUACGGGAGGCAGCAGUGAGGAAUAUUGGUCAAUGGACGAGAGUCUGAACCAGCCAAGUAGCGUGAAGGAUGACUGCCCUAUGGGUUGUAAACUUCUUUUAUAAAGGAAUAAAACGAGGCACGUGUGCCUUUUUGCAUGUACUUUAUGAAUAAGGAUCGGCUAACUCCGUUCCAGCAGCCGCGGUAAUACGGAGGAUCCGAGCGUUAUCCGGAUGUAUUGGGUUUAAAGGUAGCGUAGAUGGGUUGUUAAGUCAGUUGUGAAAGUUUGCGGCUCAACCGUAAAAUUGCAAUUGAUACUGGCAGUCUUGAGUACAGUUGAGGUAGGCGGAAUUCGUGGUGUAGCGGUGAAAUGCUUAGAUAUCACGAAGAACCCCGAUUGCGAAGGCAGCUUACUAAACUGUGACUGACAUUGAUGCUCGAAAGUGUGGGUAUCAAACAGGAUUAGAUACCCCGGUAGUC
rnacentral:rRNA from 1 species